GUACCUACGGGGGGCAGCAGUGGGGAAUAUUGCACAAUGGGGGAAACCCUGAUGCAGCGACGCCGCGUGAGUGAAGAAGUAUUUCGGUAUGUAAAGCUCUAUCAGCAGGGAAGAAAAUGACGGUACCUGACUAAGAAGCCUCGGCUAACUACGUGCCAGCAGCCGCGGUAAUACGUAGGGGGCAAGCGUUAUCCGGAUUUACUGGGUGUAAAGGGAGCGUAGACGGCGAUGCAAGCCAGAUGUGAAAGCCCGGGGCUCAACCCCGGGACUGCAUUUGGAACUGUGUGGCUGGAGUGUCGGGGAGG
rnacentral:rRNA from 1 species